GCGCGUAGCUCAGUUGGUUAGAGCGCCUGCUUCACACGCAGGAGGUCACAGGUUCGAGUCCUGUCGCGC
rnacentral:tRNA from 1 species